GAUGAACGCUAGCGGGAGGCCUAACACAUGCAAGCCGAGCGGUAUUGUUUCUUCGGAAAUGAGAGAGCGGCGUACGGGUGCAUAACACGUGUGCAACCUGCCUUUAUCUGGGGGAUAGCCUUUCGAAAGGAAGAUUAAUACUCCAUAAUAUAUUGAACGGCAUCGUUUAAUAUUGAAAGCUCCGGCGGAUAGAGAUGGGCACGCGCAAGAUUAGCUGGUUGGUGAGGUAACGGCUCACCAAGGCGAUGAUCUUUAGGGGGCCUGAGAGGGUGAUCCCCCACACUGGUACUGAGACACGGACCAGACUCCUACGGGAGGCAGCAGUGAGGAAUAUUGGUCAAUGGGUGCAAGCCUGAACCAGCCAUCCCGCGUGAAGGGCGACUGCCCUAUGGGUUGUAAACUUCUUUUGUAUAGGGAUAAACCUACCCUCGUGAGGGUAGCUGAAGGUACUAUACGAAUAAGCACCGGCUAACUCCGUGCCAGCAGCCGCCGUAA
rnacentral:rRNA from 1 species